ensembl:rRNA 5S_rRNA 5S ribosomal RNA
GUCUAUAGUCCUACUGCCCUGAAAGUGCCCGAUCUUGUCUGAUCUUGGAAGCUAAGCAGGGUCGGGUCUGGUGAGUACUUGGAAGGGAGGAAAAGCUCAUAAGAGGGGUCAGCAUAAACC